AGAGUUUGAUCCUGGCUCAGAUUGAACGCUGGCGGCAUGCCUUACACAUGCAAGUCGAACGGCAGCACGGGGGCAACCCUGGUGGCGAGUGGCGAACGGGUGAGUAAUACAUCGGAACGUGUCCUGUAGUGGGGGAUAGCCCGGCGAAAGCCGGAUUAAUACCGCAUACGCUUUACGGAGGAAAGGGGGGGAUUUUAGGACCUCCCGCCACAGGGGCGGCCGAUGGCAGAUUAGCUAGUUGGUGGGGUAAAGGCCUACCAAGGCGACGAUCUGUAGCUGGUUUGAGAGGACGACCAGCCACACUGGGACUGAGACACGGCCCAGACUCCUACGGGAGGCAGCAGUGGGGAAUUUUGGACAAUGGGGGCAACCCUGAUCCAGCAAUGCCGCGUGUGUGAAGAAGGCCUUCGGGUUGUAAAGCACUUUUGUCCGGAAAGAAAACGCCGUGGUUAAUACCCGUGGCGGAUGACGGUACCGAAGAAUAA
rnacentral:rRNA from 1 species